GAGCGGGAUCGUGCGAGCCGCUCGCGUCGCCGCGGCCUCCUCCCCCUCGGCACAUGGUCGCCCGCCCCUUCCUGCGCCGCGCUCGGCUCCCGCGCCUCGCCUGGCCUGGCCGCUGCCGCGGGCGAGCACUGUGCGCUGGGCAGCCCCGGGCCCGCGCCUCCCGCCCAGCCGGCGCUUCCCGGUCGCAGUUCGCUUUCCCACCCGAGAGCCGCGAGCGCCCGGCCGAACCCGCGAUGGAAUAAUGCCCAGCGGCCCGCCAGGUCCCGGUUGUGUUGGCCUCCCUGUGCAUUGCAUUGAGAGGAU
rnacentral:lncRNA from 1 species